GCUCACCUGGUGGAACAGGUAGACACGCUGGUCUGAGGGGCCAGUGCGCAGGAAUGCGCGUGCGGGUUCGACCCCCGCGGUGAGCACAA
rnacentral:tRNA from 1 species